GCCGGGCAUGGUGGUGUGUGCCUGUAGUCCCAACUACUCGGGAGGCUGAGACAGGAGAAUUGCUUGAACCCGGGAGGUUGAGGACGCAGUGAGCCGAGAUCGCGCCAUUGCACUCCAGCCUGGGUGAUAGAGCGAGAUUCUGUCUCAA
rnacentral:SRP_RNA from 1 species